rnacentral:tRNA from 1 species
GCGGGCGUAGUUCAUCGGUAGAAUGAGAGCUUCCCAAGCUCUAGAGGCGAGUUCGACUCUCGUCGCCCGCU